GACGAACGCUGGCGGCGUGCCUAACACAUGCAAGUCGAACGGAACUGUUUUGAAGGAUUUCUUCGGAAUGAAUUUGAUUUAGUUUAGUGGCGGACGGGUGAGUAACGCGUGAGUAACCUGCCUUCAAGAGGGGAAUAACAUUCUGAAAAGAAUGCUAAUACCGCAUGACAUAUCGGAACCACAUGGUUUUGAUAUCAAAGAUUUUAUCGCUUGAAGAUGGACUCGCGUCCGAUUAGUUAGUUGGUGAGGUAACGGCUCACCAAGAGCGCGAUCGGUAGCCGGACUGAGAGGUUGAACGGCCACAUUGGGACUGAGACACGGCCCAGACUCCUACGGGAGGCAGCAGUGGGGGAUAUUGCGCAAUGGGGGCAACCCUGACGCAGCAACGCAGCGUGAAGGAUGAAGGUUUUCGGAUUGUAAACUUCUUUUAUUAAGGACGAAAAAUGACGGUACUUAAUGAAUAAGCUCCGGCUAACUACGUG
rnacentral:rRNA from 1 species